GAUGAACGCUGGCGGCGUGCUUAACACAUGCAAGUCGAACGGAAAGGCCCAAGCUUGCUUGGGUACUCGAGUGGCGAACGGGUGAGUAACACGUGGGUGAUCUGCCCUGCACUUCGGGAUAAGCCUGGGAAACUGGGUCUAAUACCGGAUAGGACCACAUUUUGGAUGGUGUGGUGGAAAGUUUUUCGGUGUGGGAUGAGCUCGCGGCCUAUCAGCUUGUUGGUGGGGAAAUGGCCUACCAAGGCGUCGACGGGUAGCCGGCCUGAGAGGGUGUACGGCCACAUUGGGACUGAGAUACGGCCCAGACUCCUACGGGAGGCAGCAGUGGGGAAUAUUGCACAAUGGGCGCAAGCCUGAUGCAGCGACGCCGCGGGGGGGAUGACGGCCUUCGGGUUGUAAACUCCUUUCGCUAGGGACGAAGCGUUAUGUGACGGUACCUGGAGAAGAAGCACCGGCUAACUACGUG
rnacentral:rRNA from 1 species